AGGGCACCACCAGGAGUGGAGCCUGCGGCUUAAUUUGACUCAACACGGGAAAACUCACCCGGCCCGGACACUGGAGGGAUUGACAGAUUGAGAGCUCUUUCUUGAUUCAGUGGGUGGUGGUGCAUGGCCGUUCUUAGUUGGUGGAGUGAUUUGUCUGGUUAAUUCCGAUAACGAACGAGACUCUAGCCUACUAAAUAGCAGUGGAUUUUACAAACGUCGACUAGACUUCUUAGAGGGACAGGCGGUGAUUCAACCGCAUUAAACAGAGCAAUAACAGGUCUGUGAUGCCCUUAUAUGUCCGGGGCCGCACGCUACACUACACUGAAGUGAUCAGCGUGCUUUUUUGCCACUCUGUCUAGAGUGGGAAACCCAACUAACCUUCUUCGUGAAUGGGAUAGUGGAUUUUUUCACUCCCAUUGAACAAUCAAUUCCCAUGAAGGUCGUCUGCUAAGCUCGAGUUCAUUACUGCCCCUGUCCUUUUGUACACCCCGCCCCUUCUAUCCUUCCGGAUUGAAUGUA
rnacentral:rRNA from 1 species